UACGUAGGGUCCAAGCGUUGUCCGGAUUUAUUGGGCGUAAAGAGCUCGUAGGCGGUUCCGUAAGUCGGAUGUGAAAACUCGGGGCUCAACCCCGAGACGCCAUCCGAUACUGCGGUGACUUGAGUCUGGUAGGGGAACACGGAAUUCCUGGUGUAGCGGUGAAAUGCGCAGAUAUCGUAAGGAAGACCAGUGGCGAAGGCGGGUCUCUGGACAGUUCCUGACGCUGAGGCACGAAGGUCAGGGGAGCAAACGGG
rnacentral:rRNA from 1 species